rnacentral:sRNA from 1 species
CUGUCGUGUAAAACUAAAAUGAUAUGAAUUUAUGUCACAAAGCUCAUUAACUAUAAGAAAAGGACGGUGAGCACCAGAUAGACGAAUAUGAGGAAAAAUUUGUCAGAAUACUGCUUACGUACCGCGAGGUACUUCCUGGGAGAGCAGACGGAACCUCGCAGAGCAGGAGGGCCGAAUAUAAAGAGUCCAUUAAAAGACUAAAAGCAAAAGAGAGAAGGGGAAAAUUAAGAAAGAGAUAGGCGAUUGAACCGGGGAAACGAUUCAUGUUUAUAUUUCUGUAUAGUAUGUACCAAAAUAAAAGGAAAAAAUUCUAGUUUGAUAAUCCCACUGUCACACAACUUUGUCCCAGGCCAAGUUCACUUAAUUAAGAUAUUCUUUUUUCCUCAUAGGAAGUACUGCAUGCUAGGAGCUAAGCCUAGAAUUCACAUAUGGAACUAGAAGUCGGGAAGCAGAUGAAAAAAAAAAAAGAACGGCUAGCUAUCCACAGUCAAAGAUGGCAAAUAGCGAAAAGGAGAGAUAUACAUGCAGUAUGUAGCUCGUGGACUCGUGGUAAAUUAUAGGUUUGGUAUAUAAAUCAUUCUCAUAAAUGUGUCGAAAUGGACGGGGAGAUAAGAGCCAGGAGGAAGAGCUGAAUCUGAUAUCUAUAUAUAAACCGUUUCACUCUUCUUGUACCCAAAUCUGCAGUAGUAACAGAAAAGAAUCAGCAUUGGACACGGAUACGUAAAUUUCCAACCAGAAGAUAGAUGUACACAUAAGUAAACAGAACUAAAAAAAAAAAAAAAAAAAAAAAAAACAUACCUCGAUCUUUCCCAUGUCAAGCCCAUCUUUCCUCGCUUCCUGUUUUGCCGCUGUAAGCAGCAUAUCGAGAUCAUCCUGGUCACCCAUCGUAACCAUAUCCCCAUCAUCCUGCAUCUGCAUCCGCACCCGUUGUUUAAACCCAAACUUGUCCCGAAUCUUAGCUUCAAAUUCGUUAUAUCCAACCGACCCGCUAAUCAUGAUAAAUCGCACAUCACUGCUCGCAUGCACCUUGGCCCUGAUCUUGCGCACAUCUGCCCGCCGUGAGGGUUGCCGCCGGUGUGAACGUGGCGGAGGCGCAGCCAUCAUUUCGAAUUCGCCUUCGUCUGCUGAAUCGUCUUCGUACGUGUCACUAACGUAGUCGCCAUCCUCCAAAUAUCGGGCUGGUUGCGCUUGUUGUCGUUGCCGCCUGACACUUGGCCCUCUAGUAGCUCCUGC